AAUUAUGCGUGCGACAGGUUGGCUAAUAUAUUUUACUUGGCUAAUAUAUUUUACUUGGCUAAUAUAUUUUACUUGGCUGAUAUGAUUUUUAUGUUGGCUAAUAUAUUCCUUUUGUUGGCUGAUUUUUUUUUAUAUAUUUUUGAUAUGUUCCUUGUUGGCUGCUAUCAGACAUCAGUUGGCUGAUAUAUUUAUUUUGUUGGCUGAUAUGUAUAUUUUAAUUGUUGUCUUAUAUGUUUCAAUUUGUUGGCUAAUGUGUUCAUUUUGUUGGCUUACCUGUUGCUUUAGUCUGUUGAUUUCAUCCUUUUGUUGGCUGAUAUGCUUCAUUUGUUGGUUGAUAUGUUCCUUCUAUUGACUGAUAUGUUCCUUUUGUUGGCUGAUAUGUUCCUUGUAUUGACUAAUACGUUUUUAUUAAUGUCUAAUAUGUCCCUAAUGUUUAUUGAUAUCAGACAUAAAUUAGCUAAUAUGAUCAUUUUAAUGGUUUAUAUACAUCAUUUGUUGGCUAAUAUAAACAUCUCCACGUCACAUAAUAUAAACCCAAUUACAAGUACGAAGUACCUGUUUUCUAAAACCUUCUCUCCCCAAGGAGCCCACCUUCCUUGUUUCUCUCUCUUCUUCCCCCCAAAAAAUGGCAGCCCACCUUUCUUGUUUCUCUCACCUCCUCCCCAAAAAAAAUGAACACUUCCGUCCUCCGACUCGACCAUAACUCGGUCUCAUUCACCGCGUCAACUCACUACAACCUCAACAAAACACCCUAUCUUUCUAGACCUUCUCGUCUUUCUGGAACCUUUUGGAAGUCUGCCGCCGUCGUCCGAUGUGUAACUGAACCGACUCAUGAGGCAGUGAGUCCAACCAUGCAACCACCGAACCCACCAACCCACAAACCCCUUGUCUUUCCUCGCUCAAGCCGACGCCGCACCAUUAGCACCUCUAAUUGUGGGUAAAAGGAUGGAGUUUCGCAACCGCUGCGGCUACACCUUCUCCUCGCACGAACUAUUGGGUGUGGACUGCCGCACCCAAUACUAUGUGUUAAAUUUUUUAUCAAAUUAUUCAUGGUAAAAAUAAAGUCAUAUAGUCCUUUUACAUUUUUUCGAUUUAAGGAUCAUUAGAUAUAAUUGUUUUUUUUUUUUUAACAUGAUCAAGUAUAUAUUUUGGUAUUACCAUGGGUAGUAUAUUUUGAAAUAAUAUGGAAGCUAGAUUCCCGCAAAUAAUUGUAAGUACUUGUAAAAAUUCUAAACAUGGAUAUUAAAAAAUGUGGAGAAGAUUGAUCUUAACAUACUUCCUCUCUAUUAUCUUUUAGUUAACACGAUUUCACUUAUACACUAUUUAUAAGUUUUAGUAAUUUUGUAUUGGUUUUGGACUUUUGGUCUAUUCUACUCUAGUUGUAAGGUGAUCAACAUAAAAUCUUAAUAUUAAUAGGGUAUACAUGUGCUAAUGCGUGACAAAUUUCUACAUUUAGAAAAAAAAAUAGUACAAUUUCCAUGAAUCUAUUAUCGUAGAAGUAGAAGCUAAGUUAUGUAAAAAUUAUUUGUUUGUCUGAACUUAUGUUGGAGUGGGAAAAAAGAGUGCUUAAAUUUUGAAAAUAAAAGACUUUGAUAGUGUGAUUGAAAUUUAGAAAACUAAUUCCUUCAUGUUGUGUCAAAAAAAACACGAUAAAGUCAAAAUGUGUUAAUUAUUAGGCAAUAUAAAAUAUUCAUUAGCAAGCAUUAAAUAUCUAACAUCACAUUAUUCUUUCACAAAAAAAAUAAAAAUAAAAAAAUCAUUAGCAAGCAUUAAAUAUCUAACAUCACAUUAUUCUUUCACAAAAAAAAAAAAAAAAAAAAAAAAAAAAAAA